ACAUGGAGAGGUCUAUAUGCGAUAUGAGAAGCUAGGUAAGCCAACAAUCCCCUAAUGAGACUACUGUUAAUGAGACGUUCCUUCUUGUAAAUUAACAUGUAGGGAAAAGGAGAAGACAAUGAUAGCCAAACAGGAGAGAUAAUAUACACAACAACUUGCUCAAUUGGAAGAACACUGAAGAAAAAAGAAGCGGGUAUAUCACCAUUCACCAAAGUAUCUUACAUGCUUAUUCUGCUUGUUGGUCACUACAUAUAGUUUAUCCUCCUAUCGCCUCUUUGG